AAGGAAGAAGGAAUAUGUUCAAGUUGUUGCCAGAUGCAUUCAAGGGCAUCAACCAGAUUGGGGUGAUUGGUUGGGGCUCGCAAGGAGUACUUUAUAGUAGCACUCCAGUCACUUUGAUACAUUUAUAGUAGCACUUCAGUCACUCUGAUACAUCUUGUAGAGCUUUGAAUGGUAUAACUGUUGUAGAAACAUAUUAUGGUUAAAGUUUGUUUGGGUUCGAAUCAAGCAGACAUCUAUUUGGGAUGACUCCCCGCAUUGAUAACCAGAGGAUAUUGAAGAAGAUUCUCCAUUUGAUGAUCUGCUCCCUCUUGCAAUAGGCAACGACAAAACAAUAAAGGUAGGGGUAGAAGCUCUAAAAGGAAAGACAUUGUUGUUGCUCGUAUUAGAUGAUGGAAUCUCCCAUAACGAGAUUCUCAUAUACUCGGACAUAUGUAUAAAGAUUCAAGAGCGAGGCUAGAGUUUUACUACGAAAAAGAUGGAUAAACUUUGACUAUCUGUAUUUGAGAACUAUUUGUGUUAAUUAUAUUUAAAUGUAAU